CUACGGGGGGCUGCAGUAAGGAAUAUUGCGCAAUGGAGGCAACUCUGACGCAGCCAUGCCGCGUGCAGGAAGAAGGCCUUAUGGGUCGUAAACUGCUUUUAUUUAGGAAUAAACCCUCGCUCGUGAGCGAGGCUGAAGGUACUGAAUGAAUAAGCACCGGCUAACUCCGUGCCAGCAGCCGCGGUAAUACGGAGGGUGCAAGCGUUAUCCGGAUUUAUUGGGUUUAAAGGGUGCGCAGGCGGGCUAUUAAGUCAGUGGUGAAAUCCCGGGGCUCAACUCCGGAACUGCCAUUGAUACUGAUAGUCUUGAGUUUGGUUGAAGUGGGCGGAAUGUAGCAUGUAGCGGUGAAAUGCAUAGAUAUGCUACAGAACACCAAUCGCGAAGGCAGCUCACUAAGCCAAAACUGACGCUCAGGCACGAAAGCGUGGGGAUCAAACAGGAUUAGAUACCCCCGUAGUC
rnacentral:rRNA from 1 species